rnacentral:lncRNA from 1 species
UGUCAUCAGCGAAGGUAGCUCUCUCAGAAGUACUAAUUUUUGAUGCUUCAGCUUGAGAAUUAGAAUCAAUGGGAUCAUUUCUUUCGGAUAGGUCGGGUUCGGUACCAUCUUUGCCAAGGACUUGUUCCCUAAAGAAGGAGGUGGAUGGGGUCGAUAAAGGUUGGUAAGGUUAGGGCAGUGGGUUUAGUUUCAAUUCCCAAUCCAAUGUAUGAAGAAUCAGAAGCUUAAGCUGAAUCUGCAGCAAUU